GAACAGAGGGACAUCCAGUCUGCUGGCCAGUUUAUACCACAGCCCAUGUGGCUGGACAGCUCACGGGGUCUCACUACCUAACCUCCCUUUGGCUCCCUGCACAGGCGGCCGUGCCAUUCUCCUCUCCUUAAUGUGUGAGCAGCAAGAAAGUGAAUGGAAUGAAAAGGACACACACUGAUUAUUAAAUGUCUGGAUUUGUGUUUUUAAUGUAGGGGUGACAGUUCAAAGAUUGACUUGGCAGGCAGCACGCUCUCUGGCAUCUUGGAUAAGGACCUCUCAGACCGCAGCAAUGAUAUUGACCUAGAAGGUUUUGACUCCGUGAUAUCAUCUACUGAAAAACUCAGCCACCCAACCACAAGCAGACCAAAAGCUACGGGAAGACGGCCUCCUUCUCAGUCGCUCACAUCUGUGUCUGAUAACAAGGCUUCCCUGCCACCCAAGCCAGGGACCAUGGCAGCUGCCAGCAGUGGGCCAGCCUCUCUCUCUUCAGUGGCUUCCUCUCCCAUGUCAUCCUCUUUGGGAACAGCUGGACAACGAGCCAGUUCUCCAUCUCUGUUCAGCGCAGAAGGAAAAGCAAAGACGGAGUCUGCAGUGAGCAGCCAGGCUGCCAUCGAGGAGCUCAAGAUGCAAGUCCGUGAGCUGAGAACCAUCAUCGAGACCAUGAAGGACCAGCAGAAACGUGAGAUUAAGCAGUUACUGUCAGAAUUGGAUGAAGAGAAAAAGAUCCGGCUCCGAUUGCAGAUGGAGGUGAAUGACAUAAAGAAAGCUCUCCAAUCAAAAUGAAUACUUGAUCAUUGAAACGCCACAUUAUUCACCCCGAGUGCAAGACUCAGAUAUUCUGCCCCAAUCAAAAUCAUCUUGUGCCAAAAAAAAAAAAAAUUAAA
rnacentral:lncRNA from 1 species